GAUGAACGCUGGCGGCGUGCCUAAUACAUGCAAGUCGAGCGAACAGACGAGGAUCUUGCUCCUCUGACGUUAGCGGCGGACGUGUGAGUAACACGUGUAUAACCUACCUAUAAGACUGGUAUCACUUCGGGAAACCGGAGCUAAUACCGGAUAAUCUAUUGAACCGCAUGGUUCAUUAGUGAAAGACGGUUUUGCUGUCACUUAUCGAUGGUUCGGCGCUGCAUUAGCUAGUUGUUAAGGUAACGGCUUACCAAGGCGACGAUGCGUAGCCGACCUGAGAGGGUGAUAGGCCACACUGGAGCUGAGCCACGGUCAAGACUCCUACGGGAGGCACCAGUCGGCAAUGGUCCGCAAUGGUGGAAAGUUUGACACAGCAAGGCCGCGUGAGUGAUGAAGGUCUUGGGAUCGUAAUACUCUGUUAUUAGGGAUAAACAAAUGUGUAAGUAACUAUGCACGUAUUGACGGUAACGAAUAAAAAAGCCACGGCUAACUACGUG
rnacentral:rRNA from 1 species